rnacentral:rRNA from 1 species
UUGGAGGGCAAGUCUGGUGCCAGCAGCCGCGGUAAUUCCAGCUCCAAUAGCGUAUAUUAAAGUUGUUGCAGUUUAAAAGCUCGUAGUUGAAUUUCGGGAUUGGCGCAUCGGUCGUGCCUCACGGGGUAUGAACUGGUGCAGUCAAUUUCUCACCUUCUGGAGAACCGCGAUGUCCUUAAUUGGAUGCCGCGGGGAACCAGGACCUUUACUUUGAAAAAAUUAGAGUGUUUAAAGCAGGCAUUUUUGCUUGAAUACAUUAGCAUGGAAUAAUAAAAUAGGACGGCAUGGUUCUAUUUUGUUGGUUUCUAGGACCACCGUAAUGAUUAAUAGGGAUAGUUGGGGGCAUUAGUAUUCAAUUGUCAGAGGUGAAAUUCUUGGAUUUAUUGAAGACUAACUACUGCGAAAGCAUUUGCCAAAGAUGUUUUCAUUAAUCAAGAACGAAAGUUAGGGGAUCGAAGACGAUCAGAUACCGUCGUAGUCUUAACCAUAAACUAUGCCGACUAGGAAUCAGACGAUGUUAAUUUUUUAAUGACUCGUUUGGCGCCUUACGGGAAACCAAAGUGUUUGGGUUC